CCUACGGGGGGCAGCAGUGAGGAAUAUUGGUCAAUGGGCGCGAGCCUGAACCAGCCAAGUAGCGUGAAGGAUGACUGCCCUACGGGUUGUAAACUUCUUUUAUAAAGGAAUAAAGUGAGGUACGUGCGCCUUUUUGUCUGUACUUUAUGAAUAAGGAUCGGCUAACUCCGUGCUAGCAGCCGCGGUAAUACGGAGGAUCCGAGCGUUAUCCGGAUUUAUUGGGUUUAAAGGGAGCGUAGAUGGGUUGUUAAGUCAGGUGUGAAAGUUUGCGGCUCAACCGUAAAAUUGCAAUUGAUACUGGCAGCCUUGAGUGCAGUUGAGGUAGGCGGAAUUCGUGGUGUAGCGGUGAAAUGCUUAGAUAUCACGAAGAACUCCGAUUGCGAAGGCAGCCUACUAAGCUGCCACUGACAUUGAUGCUCGAAAGUGUGGGUAUCAAACAGGAUUAGAUACCCGAGUAGUC
rnacentral:rRNA from 1 species